GCCGCUAUAGCUCAGCUGGCAGAGCACCUGACUUGUAAUCAGGGGGUCUCGGGUUCAAAUCCUGAUGGCGGCACCA
rnacentral:tRNA from 1 species